rnacentral:lncRNA from 1 species
AUGCUAUAGUAGCCAUUAGAGUAAGACUUUAUUAAUUUUUGUCAAUAAACCGCACUUGGUAAGUAAAUAAGUAUUUGGUCAUUUUCGUGAACUUUUCUACAUUAAUUGCACUCCAGUUUUGACUUUUGAGAUCAGUGGGGUCUGGAUUCUUCGAUUCGCGCUUCUUUUUAAAACGAAAUUUCGUACUUUCUCUUAGAACUUUUGGAAAAUAAAACGAUUUUUCGAUGGAGAGCGACGAAAAGCCAGCGGUUGAAGCUUUGCAGGGAAGACUAAACAGUUUGAACAUCGAAGACGGUAAGAAAUAUUUAAAUAAUGGUUUUAAAAUUGCAUCUAAACACACUAAAUUGCAUUUACCUCGACAAAAUUGAAUAUAUAUUAUAUGUAUCAUGAUGACACUAUUAGUUAUGUUGUUUAUACACUCAACAGACAAGGCUGGUUCCAUUAAGGUAAUUUUCCUUUGCAGUCGCUUUGCCCGCGCGGGUGGAGCAACAAAUUCCAAUCACAUGAAAAAUCAGUUGUGCGGGCACGCCAAGAAAGUUGAAUGUAGUUCCACUUUCAUGGUGUGUCUGUGAGCAAUCGGGACAAAAAAUGCACAGGUUAGGCCCAUUUCAGACGCCGUACUCUUCGUGUGCCAAACUUAAUUGUAUUAGAUACGACACAAGAACGGCAGUGAUUCAAACAGCGUACCAAAUACAAUGUUAUUGACAAGGUCGGGGCGCUUUCGCCAGCGAAACCUAAAUAAAAGUCAAAAUAAAUAAGUUUAUUUUUAGACUAAAGUUGAGUUAAGUUUGGCACAUGAGUGGAGCGGCGUAUGAAUCAAUGUCGCUCCAUCGUCGCAUAAUGCGACAAGCUCUGCCAAACUUGUGUCGAACUUUUGCCGCUCCAAAUUCUGCCGUACUUAAUUGAUUCAUACGUCGCUCUUCUGCCGUACCUAAAUUCAUCAAUUAAGUUCGGCACAUGAGAAGUACGCCAUCUGAAAUGGGCCUUAGACAACUACAGAGAAAGUUGAAUAAUGUUUGCUCCGCCCACACAGGCAAAGCGACUGCAAUGGAAAAUUGCCUUGCUGCUGCAGGCGAAGCGAACAAAAUGAUACCAGUACGUCAAAUGUGCAUGCAAAAAUCAAUCUCCAUUGAUUUUAAUGCAUUUAGCAAAACCAACCCAUACUGUCAAAUCCGGUAUUCCGUUGCCGGCAAUAUUGAUCGGCUGAUUGAUCUCGCAAAUUGCAACCGACGCGAACAAAUUGCAAUUUUUACGUGUUGACAAUUUGUCAAAAGGUUGCGCCCAAAUGUCAGAUGCCAAGUAUUUGAUUGGCUUGUUUUGUACUAGUAGCCAAAUAUCAGGCUUUAUUGAGUCGGCGUUAAAGAAAUCCACCAACUUUAUUUAGAUGCAAAUGAGGAAACGAAGAAGAAAACUGAAGAAAGUACUACAGGAUGGAAAUCCAAGGAUGACGUCGAAGAUUUAAAGGCAAAAUUUCAAGAUUUAACUCGUAGAGCAAAACAAGAAGCGCAUGACGGAGAUUUAGAGGAAAGCUUAAAAUUAUACAAGAAAGCGUACAAAAUACACAAGAGCGAAAAAGUGGCUAAAAGAAUUGAAAAGUUGGAG